rnacentral:tRNA from 1 species
GGCCUCGUAGCUGAGCUGGUAGAGCGUGGCGCUGUACAAAAACGUAGGUGGCGUCCAUGCAGGGGUUCUAAUCCCAUUGAGGCUA